rnacentral:rRNA from 1 species
AACGAACGCUGGCGGCAGGCUUAACACAUGCAAGUCGAACGCCCCGCAAGGGGAGUGGCAGACGGGUGAGUAACGCGUGGGAAUCUACCCAUCUCUACGGAAUAACUCAGGGAAACUUGUGCUAAUACCGUAUACGCCCUUCGGGGGAAAGAUUUAUCGGAGUUGGAUGAGCCCGCGUUGGAUUAGCUAGUUGGUGGGGUAAAGGCCUACCAAGGCGACGAUCCAUAGCUGGUCUGAGAGGAUGAUCAGCCACAUUGGGACUGUGACCCGGCCCAAACUCCUACGGGAGGCAGCAGUGGGGAAUAUUGGACAAUGGGCGCAAGCCUGAUCCAGCCAUGCCGCGUGAGUGAUGAAGGCCCUAGGGUUGUAAAGCUCUUUCACCGAUGAAGAUAAUGACUGUAGUCGGAGAAGAAGCCCCGGCUAACUUCGUGCCAGCAGCCGCCGUAACAC